rnacentral:rRNA from 1 species
UGAAUACGAGAUGCUACGGCGUCGAAGCAGUCUAUGUCAUACUUCCAAGAAAAGCUUGCACUGUCAUAAACAAAUAAUGCCUGUACCAUAACCGACACAGGUGGGUAGGUAGAGUAUACUAAGGGGCGCGAGAUAACUCUCUCUAAGGAACUCGGCAAAAUGACUCCGUAACUUUGGGAGAAGGAGUGCCUUAUUUAUAAGGUUGCAAUAACAAGAUCCAAGCAACUGUUUACCAAAAACACAGGUCUCCGCUAAGUCGUAAGACGAUGUAUGGGGGCUGACGCCUGUUCAGUGCCAGAAGGUUAAAGAAGUUGGUUAGCAUUUGCGAAGCUGAUAACUGAAGCCCUGGUGAACGGCGGCCGUAAUUAUAACGGUCCUAAGGUAGUGAAAUUCCUUGUCGGGUAAGUUCCGACCCGUAUGAAAGGCGUAAUGAUUUGGAUACUGUCUCGGAGAGGGGCUCGGUGAAAUAGACUUGUCUGUGAAGAUGCGGACUACCUGCACCAGGACAGAAAGACCCUAUGAAGCUUUACUGUAACCUGAAAUUGAAAUUGGACUUUACUUGCGCAGUAUAGGUGGGAGGCGUUGAGAAUAUUCUUGCGGGAUUAUUGGAGCCAUCAGUGAGAUACCACUCUUGUAAUGUUAGAUUUCUAACUUUGUAUCAUUAUUUGGUCAAAGAACAGUUUCAGGCGGGCAGUUUGACUGGGGCGGUCGCCUCCUAAACGGUAACGGAGGCGCACAAAGGUUUCCUCUGAACGGGUAGAAAUCGUAUCUAGAGUGUAAAGGCAUAAGGAAGCUUGACUGUGAGACCUACAAGUCGAGCAGGGACGAAAGUCGGUCUUAGUGAUCUGACGGUGCUGAGUGGAAAGGCCGUCACUCAACGGAUAAAAGUUACUCUAAGGAUAACAGGCUGAUCUCCCCCAAGAGUUUUUAUCGACGGGGAGGUUUGGCACCUCGAUGUCGGCUCAUCGCAUCCUGGGGCGGUAGUACGUCCCAAGGGUUGGGCUUUCGCCCAUGAAAGCGGUACGCGAGCUGGGUUCAGAACGUCGUGAGACAGUUCGGUCCAUAUCCGGUGUAGGCGUUAGAAUAUUGAGAGGAGCCUUCUUUAGUACGAGAGGACCGAGAAGGACAUACCUCUGGUGUACCAGUUAUCGUGCCAACGGUAAACGCUGGGUAGCUAUGUGUGGAGUGGAUAACCGCUGAAAGCAUCUAAGUGGGAAGCCCACCUCAAGAUAAGUAUUCGC